GGGUCGCUAGCUCAAUUGGCAGAGUCGCGGGCUUUUACCCCGUUCGUUCUGGGUUCGAGUCCCAGGCGGCCCA
rnacentral:tRNA from 1 species